rnacentral:misc_RNA from 1 species
GGAAGGAUCAUUACUGAAUAAAUUUGAACAGGCUGUUGCUGGCCCAAGAUUUGGGUAUGGUGCACGCUUGUCAUUUUUGUUUCUCCAACUGUGCACAUACUGUAGACCUUUUGUUGUUAUUGUUGCGAUUGAGGAUUGCUGCCAAUUUGAUUCAGCUUUGCCUUGAAAAGGGUCUAUGUUGUUUUUUCAUCAAAUCUCUGAAUGUAUUAGAAUGUUGAGUUGUGAACAAUGUAAUACAACUUUUAGCAACGGAUCUCUUGGCUCUCGCAUCGAUGAAGAACGCAGCGAAAUGCGAUAAGUAAUGUGAAUUGCAGAAUUCAGUGAAUCAUCGAAUCUUUGAACGCAUCUUGCGCUCCUUGGUAUUCCGAGGAGCAUGCCUGUUUGAGUGUCAUUUUAAAUUCUCAAAACCAUGUUCAAUAUAUCAUGGCUUUGGAUGAAUGGGGGUUUGUUUGCAGGCUUUUUAAAAGUCAGCUCCCCUGAAAUGUAUAGAGAUGGUAUAUGAUUUACAAUGUGAAACAUGAUAAAAUCUAUCCAUGCUUUCCUUUGUAAUCUGCCACUUGUAAUGCAUAUAUUUUGUGCAUCUGACAAAUUUGAUCUCAAAUCAGGUAGGACUACCCGCUGAACUUAAGCAUAUCAAUAAGCGGAGGAAAAGAAACUAACAAGGAUUCCCCUAGUAACUGCGAGUGAAGCGGGAAAAGCUCAAAUUUGAAAUCUGGUGGUUUCAUUGAUCAUCCGAGUUGUAAUCUAGAGAAGUGUUACCUGUGCUGGACCGUGUACAAGUCUCCUGGAAUGGAGCAUCAUGGAGGGUGAGAAUCCCGUCUUUGACAUGGACUGCCUGUACAUUGUGGUGCGCUCUCAAAGAGUCGAGUUGUUUGGGAAUGCAGCUCAAAAUGGGUGGUAAAUGCCAUCUAAAGCUAAAUAUUGGCGAGAGACCGAUAGCGAACAAGUACCGUGAGGGAAAGAUGAAAAGAACUUUGGAAAGAGAGUUAAACAGUACGUGAAAUUGCUGAAAGGGAAACGCUUCAAGUCAGUCACGUUGGCUAGAAAUCAGCCUUGCUUUUGCUUGGUGUACUUUCUGGUUUGACGGGUCAGCAUCAAUUUUGACCAUCGGAUAAAGUCUUUGGGAAUGUAGCAUUCUUUUGGAUGUGUUAUAGCCCAUUGUCGCAUACGGUGGUUGGGAUUGAGGAACUCAGCACGCCCUGCAAGGGGCCGGGUUUCGACCACGUUCGUGCUUAGGAUGCUGGCAUAAUGGCUUUAAUCGACCCGUCUUGAAACACGGACCAAGGAGUCUAACAUGCCUGCGAGUGUUUGGGUGGAAAACCCAUGCGCGCAAUGAAAGUGAAAGUUGAGAUCCCUGUAAAGGGGAGCAUUGACGCCCGGACCAGACCUUUUGUGACGGAUCCGCGGUAGAGCAUGUAUGUUGGGACCCGAAAGAUGGUGAACUAUGCCUGAAUAGGGUGAAGCCAGAGGAAACUCUGGUGGAGGCUCGUAGCGAUUCUGACGUGCAAAUCGAUCGUCAAAUUUGGGUAUAGGGGCGAAAGACUAAUCGAACCAUCUAGUAGCUGGUUCCUGC